CACUGGUGGAAUCUGGAAGAGAAAUGAUACAGCCUAACUGUUCUCAGAGCCUUUUUUACAAAGCCUCUGAAUUUACCUUCAUUGACUCUAGCAUGAGCUCAGCCCAGCAGGCUUCAGGACAGGGGUUGGUGUGGGAGGCAAAAGCGAGGGAUUCAAGUGGAAUUUGUUAGUGGUACCCUCCAUCAAUACAAAGAAAAAUCAUAAUCCUCAGGGACACCCUUGUCAGCACAGUCUCCCUCAAAAUGACCAACCUGAGAGCCGAGGAGAAGGCCAUGUAUUACUGUGA
rnacentral:lncRNA from 1 species